GACGGAGGAUGCAAGUGUUAUCCGGAAUCACUGGGCGUAAAGCGUCUGUAGCUGGUUUAAAAAGUCUACUGUUAAAGCUUGAAGCUUAACUUCAAAAAUGCCGUAGAAACUUUUAAACUUGAGUAUGGUAGGGGUAGAGGGAAUUUCCAGUGGAGCGGGUGAAAUGCGUAGAUCUUGGAAAGACCACCAAUGGCGAAGGCACUCUACUGGGCCAUGACUGACACUAACGAGACGAAAGCUAGGGGAGCAAAUGGGA
rnacentral:rRNA from 1 species